AUACGUAGGGGACGAGCGUUGUCCGGAAUUACUGGGCGUAAAGGGCGCGCAGGCGGAUAUUUAAGUCAGCUGUAAAAGGCAUGAGCUCAACUCAUGUAUGCGGUUGAAACUGGGUAUCUAGAGUGCUGGAGAGGUAGGCGGAAUUCCCGGUGUAGCGGGUAAAUGCGUAGAUAUAUGGAAGAACACCAGUGGCGAAGGCGCCUCACUAGCCCGAAACGGACGCUCAGUCACGAAAGCGUGGGUAGCAAAUAGGAUUAGAUACCCUAGUAGUCCACGCUGUAAACGAUGACAACUAAAUAUUGCCGCGAGGCAGGGUUGAAGCUAACGCAUUAAGUAGGCCGCCUGGGGAGUACGGUCGCAAGACUGAAACUCAAAGGAAUUGACGGGG
rnacentral:rRNA from 1 species